rnacentral:rRNA from 1 species
GCCCGCUCAGAAACUCAAAGGAAGUUGACGGGGCCCGCACAAGCGUGGAGUAUGUGGUUUAAUUCGAUGCAACGCGAAGAACCUUACCUGGUCUUGACAUCCCGGAGACCCUUAGGAAACUAGGGGUGCUUCCAUCUGGAAGAAUCUGGAGACAGGUGCUGCAUGGCUGUCGUCAGCUCGUGUCGUGAGAUGUUGGGUUAAGUCCCGCAACGAGCGCAACCCUUGCCUUUAGUUGCCAGCAGUUCGGCUGGGCACUCUAAAGGGACUGCCGGUGUUAAACCGGAGGAAGGUGGGGAUGACGUCAAGUCCUCAUGGCCUUUAUGACCAGGGCUACACACGUACUACAAUGGCCGAUACAAAGGGCAGCGACACUGCGAGGUGAAGCCAAUCCCGUAAAAUCGGUCUCAGUCCGGAUUGGAGUCUGCAACUCGACUCCAUGAAGUUGGAAUCGCUAGUAAUCGUGGAUCAGCAUGCCACGGUGAAUACGUUCCCGGGCCUU